AUUGCCAAUGUCAAAUUAUAAAUUGAAAUUUCUGUCGUGUAGAGAGAGUGUGAUUUAUUAACUUACUAUAAAAAAUCUAAAGUGCUUUUGACAGUUUUUCUCAACCCUUCACCCCUCAAACGAAGACAGGCUGUGGAGAGAAACUGCUGUCAUUGACUAUUUGCAUUCCUAAGGGACAGUGAUCAGCUCGCUAUUGAGUUGGAAUCUCCAUAUGUUUUCGCCUUUUCUUUUCUUUUCUUUUCUUUUUUUUUUUUUUUUUUUUUUGUGCAUUUGUUGUAAUCAUUAUAUCGAACAUGGACUUAUUCUGGAAACCUCAAAAAGAUGGUAGGAAGAUGGUCAAGUUAAUUAUUUUUUCUUUUCCUUUUUUGUUUACACACAUGAGUGGGUGUGUAUGCUUUCUAUUUGUUUUUAGGAACUCCCUAUUGGUAAUGUCAACCUGCAAAGCCCCACAAUUGAACUCUAGUGAUUGUUCACUUAAUUUAAUGAAAAAUGGACAUUUAUUAUAAAGAAAGAUACAAAGGAACUCUAUAAGAGAGACACAACAAAAAAUAAAAUAAAAAAGAAUAGAAAAGAAAAUGAAAGAAAGGGCUUGUUUGACAACUGUUUUCAAAAACAAUUUUUUGUUUUCUAAAACAAAAAAACUGAAAAAACACGUUUGACAACCGGAAAGCUAUUUUCUGUUUUUUGUUCUUAAAAACAAAUAACAAAAUAUGUUUAGAGAAUAUUUUUUAGUUGUUUUAAGUUGUUUUGUCUUAUUUUCAAGUUUUUUAAAAACUAAUUAUACAAACAUGUAGAAUGACUAAAAAUAAAGCACUAGAUAUAAAAAUUAUUUUUAAAACAUAAUUAAAAAUAUUAAAAAUAGGUUAAAAGCAUUUCAAUUUUCCAAACAGACUUUUGUUAUAAAUAUAAUAAACCAAUUUUCAAAAACUAUUUCCAAAAACUGUUUUACAGAUCUGUUUUAAAAAACGGUUACUAAACAGGUCUAAAGUCUCUCAGCAAUACUAGCUAAUAUAGAAGAUCGAAAGCAUGUUUAUUUGAGAGAAACAUAAACAAGAAAUGAGAGCAAAAAUAUAAUUCUCAAGGUGCAUCUAGCCAAAAACUGGAAAUAUACAAAAGCACGUGUUAAUGAUUAGGUUUGAAGGUAGUAUCCAAAUAAAUGGUCAUUCUACAGAUUUAGAAAGAUUGACAAUGUCAAAGGGGAGUUUGCAUAAGCCACAAUCAUUAGUUGUCAUUCUUAGGGAAACUAUAUUUCUUCCUCUAUUGAGUUAGUUUAUGAUUGUCCACAUUGAUCAUUACCUAAGACUAGAGGGUGCUUCUAUAGUUUUUUUGCCUAUUAGUUCUAAAUUGUUGAUUGUUGACGUUGCUUAUAAUAGUUUACACAAGAAGAGAUGGCCCAAUUUUUUAACCUUCUUCAAGGAACUCUCUCCCCAAGCAAUUCCAGCUUCUACAAUUGCCUCAACAAUGCAAUGAUGUUUCUCCAACAUAAAUCGUGUUCGUAUAACAGAAAGCGUGAUAAGCUUCAAAAAUAUCAAGGCAUUCAAUCUUUUCUGCAAGGUUAUUAUCAUCUGCUAAACUUAGUCGACAAAUGGUUUGUCUUUAUCCUUUUUUGUCCUCUGUAUUUCCAUUUAAUUUUCAAAUUUAGUUUUUGGUAGGUAGUUGGAAGGUGAUAGAUCAUGUUGAGAAAUGCUCACUUCAAGCCCAAGGUAAGGUACUAUAUCAUGCUUACUACUAUACUUUAGGCUUAGAUUUGUUUUCAUGUGAGGUCAACAUCUGCUUGAAACUAACACUUCCUAUCCUGUCCCAUACCCACCAAAAAGGGGAAAAAAGUAAGAAAGAAAGAAAGAAAAAAAUGUUAAACUGAAUCUAACCCCAGGAAAAAGUUAAAAUCCUAGUACAAAUAUGGGUGAUAUAUUAAUGAGCAUUCUUUUUUUUUUUUUUUUUUUUCUUUUUGCUAAAUUUAGGGUUUGUUUGGGAACUAUUUUUGAAAAUGGUUUUUUGUUCUCCAGAACAAAAUACACAGGAAACAUAUUUGACAGCCAAAAAUUGUUUUGAACGGAAAACAAAGUGUUUUCUAAAAGCAUCUUUUGGCCGUUUUCUAUUGUUUUAACUUGUUUUAUGAAGGUUAUUUUAAGAAAUAAUUAUAUAAACAUGUAGAAUGAUUAAAAAUAAAAUACUAUAUAUUAAAAUUAAUUUAAAAAUAUAAAAAUAGGUUAAAAAUAUUUUAGGCUUUCAAACAAAUUUUUGUUCUACAAAAAUCAGAAAACACUUUUCAAAAAUUGUUCUUAAAAACUAUUUUUUUAGAAUCGUUUUCGAAAACAAUUACCAAACAGACCCUUAAUAUUGUUUUAGAUACAACACUUCUGCAUUUGAUCAAAUGAAACUUCUAUGGUCUUAAUAGAGAGAUGCCAAGCUGUGAUUUUCCAAAUAGUUCACAUAGGAGCUAUAACUGUUUCUUCCUUUUCGUUGUUAUGGUGUAUCUAUAUUUGAAUAGCAGAGACUUCUUAAGAAAUAUUGCAUUAUUUUCCGGUAAGUAAUAUUAUUGGACUGAGUUUUUGACUGAAUUGUUCUUCAUUUAGAUAGUGAGACCAUUCCAUUUCACCAACCCCUAGAAACAUGAACUUUUGAGAUAAUAUGGCUUAUGCCAAAAAGGUAUAAAAUUGGACUAAUUUGGAAAUAUUGGGCAAUUUAUAUUAAACCCAUUAUUUCCAUAUGGUUUUCGAUUCCUAAUCCUAGUAAGGUGAAAUGAUAAGAUGUGUUCUGAUGAAAAUGCAAUCGAUUCUAGGAGGUCUAUAAGAAGGAUGAUGACAGACCUGCUUAUGAUUAUGGGCAAAUGCUCGAUCGUUUUGAAUCCAAUAUGUGAGUGUUGAAGUAGCUUCUUAAAGUCACAUUUCCACAGAUUAUGGGCUAAAUAAAUGGCCUAGUCUAAUUUAGGUACCAGAAUUCUCAAGUGCAAUGCUUAUUGCUAUUUUGGUUUUUUUAGGUUAAUCUAAUUACCACUUCUUUUAGGCCUAUGUUCAUGAUGCAGGAGAAUUAGAUGCAUUUCCACAUAUACAAACUCUUAAAGGAUUUCCCAAGGAGGAGCUUUUUGCAAAAGUGGUGAUGGUUCGAUUUGAUUCUGCAAUCCUACUCCAGAAAGAACUGGACCUGAAGAGCCAAGUCACCAGUGCAGUUUCUACCAUCAAGUAUUUAUUUGAAGCUGGGGCCAAAAUAAUUCUACUGAGUGAUUGGAACAUGAAAAUUAAUUCAAAACUUCUUGUGGUGGAAUCUGUUGCAGGUAUAUAAUAUAAAAUGGUUCUGCUUCUGAUAGUACUCUUCAGUUUUACUCAUCCAGUCUUGAUUAAGCUCACCAAGUAGCAUUCUGCUGUUUCUUGCAUGCCUAUAAAAAUAAAAAUAAAAGAAGAAAAAAAACCUGCAAUGAGCAUCAGAUAUUAUUAAAAGAAUUGAGAGACAUCACAACAUAAGGCUAUAUUUAUUAUUAUAGAACAAAUUGUAACUUGUUUUGUUUAUGUAGGAGUCUGUGCUUAAUGCUUGAUGAUGGUCUGUCUCUAUGUUUCAGAUUUUCUGUCAUCAGUACUCCAACUCAAAGUUGCUCCAUCAAGAUGCAUUUCCAAUUGUAGUCUGUCUAAGAUGGAAGAGCUUGAGAAAGCAGACAUUCUUCUUCUUGAGAAUCUUUCUGAGUUCAAAGGGGAACUUGCUAAUUGUUCAAAGUUUGCUGAACAAUUAUCUUCAGUAGUUGAUAUCUUUGUCAAUGAUUCCUUUUCCAAUUCUCAUAAAAUUCUUGCAUCAACUGUUGGUGUUCCUCGCUUUUGCUCUGCCUGUGUGGCUGGGUUUCACUUUGAGGAGAGCCUAUGUCAACUAAAGAUGGCUGCCCAAAUCAAUAAGAAACCAUGUAUUGCAAUUGUACGGCUCCACUCCAUUGAAAAGCUAAUGUUUAUUCCCUUAAGUCUAUAAACUUCUUGCACUUUCUGAUAAAUUAUGGAAUAAUUUGUUAAUUCAAUACUGUUCUUAAUCUAUUUCUGUCAUUCUGCUAUUUAAUGCAGAUUGGAGGGGGUAAUCUUUUUGAUAAAGCAAGUGCAGUUAGAUACUUGGCUUCUAGAUGUGACGGGUUGGUGUUUGUUGGGAUGAUGGCAUUCCAAAUAAUGCAUGCCUUAGGACUGCAUGUUCCCUUGAAUUUGUUGGAAGGUGGACCACUGAAAGAAGCUUCAAAUAUAGUUCAGCUUGCGCAAAACAGAAAGAUACCAAUUCUAUAUCCAAAAGACUUCUGGUGCAUGACUAAUGAUUUUCCAAAGCAAAUGGAAAUAUUUCCUGCCUAUGGUAUUCUUGAUGGUGAGUUUGCAUUUAUUAAGCUUGGAAUAUUACAUGCUAUGUUUCAUUUUAAUGAUUAAAAUUUUCAAGUAAUGCUAUAACUGUAGCUGCUAAAUCUCUGAAACCUACCUACUCUGAAUGUUAAGACUGGUCUUCUUCUACAUGACUAAAAUGGGACUUGGCUGGGAUCUUGUGUGCAGAAUUAGUUGAUAGUACCGACUAACUAACCUCUUUCUUGUUUUUGUGUUGUUUUCCUUGGAAUAUUAAAUGAGCACUUAGUGUAUCUUGGCACAACUUAUACAAGUAUGAACGUUAGAAGAAAGAAGGAAAUAGUAGUUUAGAGACACCUUUUGGAUAUGUUUGUUUGAUUGUGCUUAAUAUCUCCUUUCUUAGUUAUCCAAAAGAAACUAGACAUAACCAUCCUGAAACACCUAUUUCCAUCAAUAAACUCUAAUUUUAUGGUGGACAUUCUUCUUCUUAAUGUCCCCACUUAUGAAUGAGUUGACUGAGGUAGCAACAUUGGAUCAGUCAUAUUAUAGCUGAUAUGCAGAGAUGCUCAUUAGGGCCUACCAUUUGGUUUGCUCCUUCCAUAAUUUAAAACCUCCAAAUAUCAGUCUCAAAAACCUUUAGGGUGCUUGGUGCCAAUCUGUAAAUAUUUCCGGAAGUUUAUAAAAUGGUAAUCACAUGUUCUCAUAUUUCUCUGCACAUAAAUGCACACUCAAUUAUGUGUACUAGACUAUAAUGUGUGAAUUGGUCAACAAAUGUGCAGAAUCCUGAUAAUUAAUUUACUAUUCUCAAAAACUUCAAAUAUCAGUCUUGGCCUAUUAGAAGUAGAAGGCACUCUGGUGGGAUCCUCAUGGCCAGAAAAAGAUUGCAGUCAGUUUGAUAAUGAUCGAGUGGCAUUGCUUCUUCAGCCUGAACCAAGGAUUCCCCUAGAUAUGAUACAAAAUGGGUCUUGUUCUGCUUGGUGCCAAUCUGUAAAUAUUUCUGAAAGUCUAUAAAAUGGAAAUCACAUGUCUCAUAUAUUUAUCUGCACAUAAAUGCACACUCAAUUAUGUGUACUAGUCUGUAAAGUGUGAACUGGUCAACAAAUGUGCAGAAUCCUGAUAAUAAAUUUACUUUGACUCAUUUCUUUUCACAAGGCACAUCUAACAAAAGAUAUUUGUAAUUGUGGAGUUUAGGUGGAUCAUUAUACUGCUAGUACUUCCAUUUGUUGGGAAUGAGUUUUUGUUGUUAAGUUAUUGAUUUACAAUUAAGUGGACAAUUUUCAUUUGAUAUUCUCCUGUUGCCUUUUUUAUGAUAUUGAUAUUUAUUGAUUGUUUUCUCAUCUAUCAACAUUUUUUCCUUUUAGGUUGGAUACCUGUUGAUCCUGGACCCAAAGCAUUGGAUGAAAUAAAUUCUUUGCUUACAGGUUGCAAGGUGAGAUGAGAAGAUUCUCAUUUUGUAUCUUAAUGUAUGACUGUUCCCUAUUUUUUUCAUUCUUUUUUUUUUUUUUUUUUCUGAUGCAACAUCACAUUUACUCUGAACUGAACUAAAUCUCAUUCUUCACUUGGUUUUGUUUUGCUGCGUUGUUGAUGUUUGGAGGAGGUGAGGGGUUUGUUUACUAUUUGAUGAAUAUAGGCAAUUGAUGCAACAUAGCUUUAAUGCGUAUGUUUGUUGUACUGAUGUUGUGGUCCCUGAUUUUUUUCCACUUUCUUUUUUUGGGGUUUGGUCCCUGCUGGACUUGAACCUUGAACCUCUCACAUCCCCACCCAUUCCAUUGCCACUUGAACCUCAAGGGUGACGUUGUGGCUUCAAUGCUCAUGUUUGUUGUCUUGAAGCUGUGCUCCGUUUUUUUUUCCUUCCCUUUUUUAUGGGUUUGGUCCCUGCUGGACUUGAACCUUGAACCUCUCACAUCCCCACCCCAGCCCCUUGCCACUUGAAACUGAAGGGUGAAGUUGUGGUCUCUGUUAUUUACAACACAGUGGUUAUAAUUUUAGCUUUAUCUCACUAUUUAUGUCUACUUUAACUCCAGAGACAGCAAUUUUACCCACUUUGCAUUCUUGAUUCUUCUGUAAGAUCUGUCAAUCAAAAUAAAUGCUCUGAAUGAUCACAAUCAGCCCUCUCUGAGACAUAAAGUUCACAUUUCUUGAACUAUUUGCUAUGCUGAAGCAUCUUUUUAGAAACCAAAGCAUGACAGGAAGUUCCUUGAAACAUUUUGAUGAGGAUGAAUCUCCAAAAUAUACAUCAAGAUAGGAAAUUAGUAUUAAUUGCAAUUAAAGUAGGAUUAGUAUUACUUAGAAUUAAAAUAGGAUUAGUAUUUGUUGGAUUUAAAUUAGGAGUAGCUAAUUAGGUUAUAAGAGAAUUUGAAUUAGAGUCACAAUAGGUUAUUAGAAUCCAAGUAGACUUUAGUUUUCUUAGAGAAAUCUAUAAAUAAGUUUAAUUAAUGUAAAUCAAAUUAAUGGGGAUUGAUGAUUAAUAAUAUCAUGUUUUCUUGCAUACUUUGCAAUUUUAAAUGGUGAAACUCUAUUGAUUUUCUUCUAGGUGAGACUCCUAGAAGGCUUUAGUGUGACUCUGAGGUUUCUAUCUCUUCUUCUCCUUAAACUCUAAAAAAACCCUAGCCCAACAAUUUGAUUGUAGGCAACCAUCCUAUGGUUCUCCUACAUCACAUUUCUUCCCCUUCAAAUAAAGAAGACUGCUUAAAUGCAUGAUGAGCAUACCCUAUAUUGGAAAUGAAACCACACCAAAAGAGUCACAACUUGGGAAAAAGAAAAGAAAUGAAAAGACAGCAUUAAAAAUGUAAUAAACUGGAGAAACAUUUGAUAGGAUGAAGUUGAAAAGGCUGUAGAAACUAGAAAGGCUUGUGAAAGUGAAGUGUGGUCAUACCUUUUAUUUUGAAAUAAGAAAAAUAAGAAAUUGUAGAGUUAUUAUGUGAAAUACUCUGUAAAUUGAAAAGGUUAGUGGAGUGUAUUUGUAUGAAUGUUAGUCUUUCUCACUCAAUUUUGAGUUUUGUUUUUGCAUAAAGCAAUUAUUAAGGAUGAAUUCCAGGUAUUGUACAGAUGAGUGUAACCUUAUGUACCCGCCUAAUUCAGGCAUCAAAUGUUUAUCAUUUCUUUUUCACAUCUACAGUUUGUUAUGCAUUAAAAGGUUCAAGGUAUUUUCAGAAUCACAUGCUCAAUUUUGUCCCAAUUUUUCUGUUUGUUGUGAACUCUGAUAAGUGGAUAUUAAAAGAGAAAAGAAUUACUAAUCAAUUAAACUUUAUUUUGAGCCAUCUGUAUAAUCUGCUAACAACUUUUUCUUUGUAAGAAUUCUUUUGCUGCAUUGGUGUCUUUUAACUUGUUGCUGUUCUUGUGAUUCUCAGAUGUAUCUAACACUUUUUAUCAAUUUACCACAGAAAAUUAUCUGGAUUGGUCCAGUAAAAUUCAGGUUGCCAAGUCAGGAUAUAUAUGGAGCAUCUAAGUUGGUGUCAAUGCUUGAUAGACUAACUCAAAGCAACUGCGAAAUAACUGUUAUUGGGAAUAUGGCUUGCAAAGCAGUUAUGAAGGAAUCAAGUUUUGUCUCAGUUUAUAAUAUGGUUGAGAAUGCUUCAGUGGUGUGGGAAUUUCUCAAAGGAAGAAAACUUCCUGGUUUAAUGGCCUUAGAUAGAGUAUGCUUUUUAUCCUUCUCUCCACUCAAAUUUUAAAGUUGUAAUUAGUUACCAUAUAAAGGUAUAUUAAAGCAGGACUGGAGAACGUGGUAAAUCUAUCCUCUUGUCCUUAUGUACAAUUCCUGCACAACCAGUCAUGGUUGGAUCCACCUUCUUGUUGAAUCCACUAAUUAGAUUUCUAAUAAGAGAAAACCAAUUUUAUCCAGUGGUGAAAGACAGAUUUGAGUAGGUGUUUAAGAUCAUCUGAUCAGGUUGAUGGCAGAUGGUGGUGGCUUCAGGAAGUGCAAGGAAGAGUGGAAGUGGCAGUAGUGGGGUGUUUUAGUUUGGUUUUACCUAAGAGUUUGAUAUGUCUGGGGUUUCUAUCUAGGCCUUCAGGGUGAAGUUUUUUGUAUCGGGUGUUGUUUGUUGUUUCUUUGUCCUUUUGCUUGUAUUCUACUACUACUCUGUGUGUACUUUAUGUGCCUUUUUUGAGCACUUUUAAUAUAUUUGCUAUGUUUACCUAUAAAAAAAAAACAAAAAAAUCAUCUGAUUAGGUUGAUUUAUGUUUGAAAAGAUCUCUAUGCUUGAGAUCCAUCAUUUGAGGUACACCAAAAUUGGUGAAUGCAUGGGACAUGAAUUAGGAUUGAAGGAGAGUUUUAAAAACAUUAUGGUGUUGUGACAUUAGUAUGCCUUUUGAAAUAGAUCAUCUAGGACUGUUGGUUGAGCAUUUUGAAAGUACUUUUGAGAAGCAAGAAAAGUGGGAUUUUAAGCUGCAGAGAAAAAAACCAUAAUGUGUUGAUAGUGGAUUUCUUCUUAAUGUUUGUAAACACUUGUUUAAAUUACUAGCAUUUUAUCAGUUCUAUAAAUGACCUCAUUUUUAUUUUAUUAUGGUAAUUAUACUGGUGUAUCUUCACAUUUAUACUAUUAACAUGUUUAAGUGCUAUAUAAAACAAGACCUGAACCUUCAGUGCAAUAUAACAUGCUUCCCCUCCUCAUACAUUUGACAUUUAGUAAAAUUGUAUUAGUAAUAUGGGCAUUGAGGUGUUUUGAAUGUGUCUAUGCUUGUGCUGCAGUGUAUGUGCAUGGCUUGUAAAAAGUGAAUCAAUUUCAUUUCAAUACUAAUGAUUCUCUCUUUUUUUUUUAUAGGUGAUAUACUAAUGAUUCUCUUACACUGAUUUUUUCAUGGUUUAUCUAAAGUGGUAUCGUAUGAGUAUAUGUACUUGGUAACCAUGCUUCCUUUAAUGGUUUGCCUGGUAACUGUGCUUAUGGCCUAAAGUUAGUACUUUUAAUUUUGACUUAGAAAUACUGGAUUGCUCAGUCCUAUCAAAAAGAUAAAGUGUAAAUGGAUAUGCUCACUAUAAGAAGCCAUGCAACUGGAGAGUCAAGUUUUGUAUAAUAUUAUUUUAUGUAUGCCGUCCAUACAUCAAUUUCUACUCAGUUAGCACUUCAUAACCUUAUGGCAGUUGCUUUGUGCAGGCAUACCCAGUUGAGAUUGAUUGGAAUGCAGCCUAUAGUCAUCCAUCCCAACCCUUGGUAGUUGACAUUGGCAGUGGUAUUUAUGUCUCCAUUCCCUUCCUAUAGUUUCUUUGUUUUGUUUUUUCAAAUGUGUAUGAAUAAUGAAAAGAAAAAAAUAACAGCAAGUGAAGUUUGCUGAAUUAGGAGCUAACAAAAGAAGGCAAGGAUGUAGUUCAUAGUUUUAGACUGUUAUGUUUUUUAUGAGCGUUGUCAUAGUUCUAGACUAUGUUAAUGCUGAAAUGGCUAUUUUAGCUGUUUUGUCUUAUCUAGAUGUGCAUGUACUAUGUAUAGUAAAACCCCUAUAAAAUAAUACCCUUGAGACCAAGAGAAAUUAUUGUCUUAGUGGGGUUAUUGAUUUAUCAAUAAAUUAAUAAUUGUUGAGCUGUAAAUAGAAUAGGAGAAUUUUUUUUUCCUAUUAUGUUAGUUUCCUAUUUCUAUAAAUAGAUAGUUUUAUGAUUUAGAAAUAAGUUAGUUUAGGAAUAAGUUAGUUUCCUAUUAUGUCUCUUGUUUCCUAUUUCUUCUCUUGUAAUCUCCUAUAUAAACCGUGUGUAUAGUCAAUCUAAUAGAUAGAACUUAUUAUUUUUCAUCCCAUAUUUCGUGUGAAUAAUGUAUUUAUAUUUGUUAAUUUAUAAAGAGUAUUAUGUUUCUAAUUUUCACAUGUAUGACUUAUAAAUCAAAAAACAAUGGAUGUAAUAGAAAGUUAAUACACAGAAGCCUAAGAAACUCUAAAAAAAUAAGAGAUGAUUAUUAAUUGUAAAUGAUAGAAAAACUUCUAAAAAGAAGAGGUGCGGUGUUAAAAUUAAUAUCCUAAAAAAAGGGGGGAUUCGUUGUUUCGAGGAUAAAGUGUUACAUUUGGAGAGAUGGGGGCCAGAGAUAGGAUGCUUUCUGGCAGGAGACCAUGCUAAACAAAUCUGGGUGAGAGUAGUGGGUCUUCUGCUACACUUCUGGAAUUGGGAGGAGUUCAGAAAGAUGGGCGACUGUUGUGGGGGGCUCGUUGCUAUGGAUGAAGACACAACUAAUUUUUCACAGCUUCAGUGGGCCAGGCUCUUGGUGAAGUUCUGAGGGGAAAGACUUAUUUGGGUUGUUACAGUUGGUUGUGAGUUCCUUUUGCUUUGCAAUCCAACUAUGGUGGGAAGUGCCUUUGUGGGUGUAGAUAGUGGUGUCGAUGAAUUUGAAGAGCUGAAGUGAGUGACUGAAGGUUAUGGAUGAUGGAAGGGGGAGGAUACACGAGCGAGGAGUAGCAUGGGGCUUACCGAUCGCUUGUGCAAUCUAUUGGGGGUGGCAUGUCGUGUUUCAGUGGUGAAGUAAGAAACAGGGAGGUGGCUGUUGACUCUAACUUGCCUGGUGGAGUUUUUGUUGGGGUUGCAGGAAAAGGUGGGAGAGGGAGAGCAGUUGGAAAGGAAAGGCGUGAUGGAGGGAUGUUAAGUGGGAAGGGGAGUGGGCCCACAUUUGUGGGCAGACGGGCUGUGGUCGGCAAUGCAGAUGCGAGGUGUGGGCUGGUCUCUGGAGCCCAUGGAGCUAAAAAUCUGCAAUUAGGAAUGGUUGGGUCUGUGGCCUAACUGAGGCUUGGUGUGGGCCGCGUCUUGGUGGAGAAAGAGGGUGGUGGGCCUAAUUCAACCGUGGGAGAGGGCCAACCCAAUGGUUUUGCUUUAGGGUUAGAGGGUCCAACCCAGUUUAGUGAUUUUGAUAUAACCCUUCUUCUUUUUGCCAGCAAUAUGCAUCUCCAAAAUUUGAGACUAAACAUGAUAAUUAGUACCAUCCAACUUAAUAGAAAUUGUUGGAGAGGGGUAGUCUCGUGAAUGGUCUCCAUGGAUGAAUUUUUGCUAUCAGAAAUACCCACUUCUGUUUUUGUAGACAUUAUAUGCCAACAAAGAAGGUGAAAAGAAGGAAGAAGUGUUGAUUAGGCAGCAACGCAAAUUCUCUACUUUUGCUCUGAUACCAACUUGAUAAAUUGCUGAAUGAAUUUUCUCGUAUAUCUUUAGUAGAUUUAUACGGGAUAUACAAAGCUAUUUUAGGAUGGCCAACUAUACAAAAUAAACAACAACUAUAUAGAAUAAAUCACAAUUGUUUGACAACUAUACAAAUGGUUGUACACAGCUGUACAUCACAGCUGGACACAGCUGUACUGACAGCUGACUGUUUUCCAUAUUAUGGCAAGUAUUGUAUUAAGUGAUGAUAUAAGAGAACUCUUUUGGGAACUUGUCAUAAAUAAGAGGCAUCAAUGGGAAUAAGUGACCUGUACACCUCUACAAUUGAUAUACUGAUUUGAAAAUUAUUGUCUUCUUUACUUCUAGUCUCAUUUCUAAACUUUUGCUCAUUUAUUUUGGUUUUAAUCAUUAACCUUAGAUCUAGUUUUCCGUUUAUUUGUUUUGAUUCUGAUUCAUUAACCUAAGCUGUAGUUUUUUUUGCUUACACACUGAAUUCUAAAUGGCAGGAAAUGGAUUGUUUCUUCUAGCCAUGGCUAAAAGGAGGGAGGACUUGAAUUUUCUUGGGUUAGAGAUUAAUGAAAAGGUUUGCCUGCUUCCUUUUUCAGUCUUUUUUCUUUUAUGCAUGUCUUGAAGUGUCUAGACUUCAUAUUUAUCAAAUGGAGGGAGAAGGGAAAAAAUGCUUUAAACUUCUUCACUGGUAAUAACGUAUUUACAUCUUUUUUCAGCUUGUAAGACGUUGUCUAGACUGUGUUCAUCAAUAUGGCAUAAUGAAUGGGUAUGUGCCAUUUCCUUAAUGUUGCACAAAAGUUGCAUGUAGCUAUGACAAAAGUGAGUUAUCCUGCUCAACUUUUCCACUUAGUUUAAUCUUCCUGGAGACAAUCAUCAUUACCUUUGAAUUACUCUAUAUAAGAGUACAGUUUAUAGUUUGUUUGGUAAAACAUUUCUUUUUUAACUUUCUUUUGU
rnacentral:lncRNA from 1 species